AUCGCGAUAGCUUAGCCGGUAGAUCAUCCGCCCGGUAAGCGGAAUGCCACCAGUCCGAUUCUGGCUCGCGGCA
rnacentral:tRNA from 1 species